rnacentral:rRNA from 1 species
AUACGUAGGGUGCGAGCGUUAUCCGGAUUUAUUGGGUUUAAAGGGUGCGUAGGCGGUUUGCUAAGCGGGAGGUGAAAUGCCGGCGCUCAACGUCGGAAGUGCCUCCCGAACUGGUGGACUUGAAUGACUCUGCCGUGGGAGGAAUGUGUAGUGUAGCGGUGAAAUGCUUAGAGAUUACACAGAACACCGAUUGCGAAGGCAUCUCACGAAGGGUUGAUUGACGCUGAGGCACGAAAGCGUGGGGAUCAAACAGGAUUAGAUACCCUGGUAGUCCACGCAGUAAACGAUGAUGGCUAACCGCUGGGCUUAUCAGUUCAGUGGCCAAGCGAAAGCGAUAAGCCAUCCACCUGGGGAGUACGACCGCAAGGUUGAAACUCAAAUGAAUUGACGGGG